rnacentral:tRNA from 1 species
UCCGCCAUAGCUCAGUUGGUAGUAGCGCAUGAUUGUUAAUCAUGAUGUCGUAGGUUCGAGUCCUACUGGCGGAG